CCCAUCUCACCUUAUCAGAACUCUCUCCCCUUGUCUUGUGGCUUCCUUAACACACAUCUUCAACUGCUCUCUCUCUUCUGGCAUUGUCCCUGCUGACCUUAAACAUGCCACUGUAGUACCUAUCCUGAAAAAAACAUCUCUUGACCCGUCCUCCCCCUCUAACUAUCGUCCCAUAUCCCUGCUACCUUUUUCCUUAAAGCUUCUGGAA